GACAAUGCAGGCCAACGGGGAGGCAAUAAAGAUGAAAUGGAAGGAUAGUGGAGGAAGAAAAGAAGACACCAAAACCAAUUUAUGGUUUGAUGUUGACCUGACUUCACCUGAGCAGCUGGGUGGGUUCAUCAUUGGUGCAGUAUACUAUGAGUGUUUAAGCUGAUAUUGGAGAAACAAUGGCAACUGCAAAAACGGCUAACACUUUUCAAGAAAACCAGACAUGCUGUCUCUUUGAAAUACUUAAAUUAUGUAAUGAGAUUUGAUGUUUUAAGCACCCUGAUUGUCUUAAGUAAAAAACAAACCUUCCGUUACAGUCAUUUUAUGUUUCUUUUCCCUUUCCCUCGUCUAUCUCUCACAACCGAGACACCCAGCAGAGGCUGCUCAUUUUAAUCCUCCCAACUAUAAUGAAGACAACAGUGAUGAUUCUCUUUCUUGGCUUGCAACGUUGAAAAUAAACCUUGAGAAAGAAAAGCGAGGCAAUGAAGAGGAUGACGAUGAAAGAAAAGACUUAGAGACAGCAGGCGAGAUGGGGGGAGAAAAAAAAGGGUUUUGUUUUAAAGACAAUAGCAAAAUGAAAAGUAGGGAAAUGAAAAGCUGGAUUUAAACAUGGAAACAAACGAGCUACGUAUGGGAAGAAAUAGGUGUAGGGCUUGCAAAUUGUUUCUGCCGAGUAAAGUCCUUUAAUAUGUAAAUAAGAUGCUAUUUGAAGGUAAGAGGUAGGCUGGAGCUGCUGGAGUAAUGGAACAUGAAAUAUGCAUAUUUUACAUAUGAUUUCAAGGUGUAGGCACGUACGAACACAGAGUUAAAGGGGAUGUAAAGG